CCUACGGGAGGCUGCAGUGAGGAAUAUUGGUCAAUGGGCGCGAGCCUGAACCAGCCAAGUAGCGUGAGGGAUGAAGGCUCUAUGGAUCGUAAACUUCUUUUAUAAGGGAAUAAAGUGUGGGACGUGUGCUAUUUUGUAUGUACCUUAUGAAUAAGGAUCGGCUAACUCCGUGCCAGCAGCCGCGGUAAUACGGAGGAUCCGAGCGUUAUCCGGAUUUAUUGGGUUUAAAGGGUGCGUAGGCGGCUUUUUAAGUCAGUGGUGAAAGUGUGGGGCUCAACCGUAGAAUUGCCGUUGAAACUGGUGGGCUUGAGUAUGUUUGAGGCAGGCGGAAUGCGUGGUGUAGCGGUGAAAUGCUUAGAUA
rnacentral:rRNA from 1 species